AAAUUUAAAAUACAAAUGCAAUAAUACAGAAAACCAACACUGACAGAGUCAGAGCAGGACCUGUCACCCUGUGGGUCAGGGAGGUGGCAGCAGUCCCAUCCCAGGGUGGCUCAGCCCUCCUGCAGUGCCAGCUGUGCUUCUGCUGGAGCAGGAUCCUGGACAUGGGGGGAGUUUUCCUCUGGAGCUCCAGGGCAGGGGGAGAUGGGCCUGGGCUCCUCUGGGAAUGCAGCAUCUCCCCAUGGAUGAUGGAAUUUUCUCAGCCAUGCAGGGACACUCAGUGGCCAUGAACAGCAGAGAUCUCCUGCAGGGAGGAUUGGCUGUGGAAGAGAUAAAGAAAAAACUGCCCAAUGAACAGGAGAGAACUGCCCCACCUCUGACAGAUGUGAAUAGAAUAAAAUACACACCCCCAGCCACAUCUUCCAACCUGACAAGGAGGAUGAGUGGAUACUACACUGACCAGUCCUGUCUUAUCCCGACAUCUGCAAGUCUCUGCCUGUGCAUCAGCAUGCAGACAGACAGACAAAGGGUUGACACUGAGUGGGGAAUGGGAAGAGGUGAUAAAGACAUGGCUGGUGGAGAGGGAGAAGAAGUGAGGUUUGUCUGUCCUGGGAAGCAGCACCUUUGCAGUACUGUGUUAGUGGAGUCCACACCACACAGGUCCUACAUCACCCUCCAAAAUUAAUUACCAGUGCCUCUGCUGAAGAUAAAACUGAAAUCAUAUUUAUUUUUGUGCUUACAUUCUUGUUGUCAUGUAAUUAAGUGCUACCAUGUAAUUAAAGAGGAUUUAGAGGGUAUUUAUGCCCUGUGAUGUUCCAUAAUUGCAGCUAAUUUCUCAUUUACAGCUUCUAAGCAUCUCCAGUGGAACUCCAGGAGCUGCUGGGGCAGGGACAAUGGCCAUCACAGGGCUUGGGGACAUUGUGCAGAGCUAGAGCACUGAAGGCUUGCAUCUUGAAAGGCCUGUCCCCAUCCCCAAGUCUUCAUCCAGAAAGUUAAACUCUCCCCAGGCACAGGGCAGGAGCGAUGACCCAGAAGCAUCUUUAUGUGCAAAUGGGGGUGCUGGUGAGAACAGCAGCAGGAGCUAUCCCAGCUUCUGGCCCCAGCUCUCCCUUGUAAAACUCCUUAACACCCAGAGACACCAUGUAAGGAUGAAAUAAACCCUUCUCCAGCAGGCAGGCCUGCUGAGGGGGGAUUUAUUUCACAUUUCCAUGUGAGUGAAUAUAUGGUGGGAAGUGCAGGAUGUGAGGACUUUUCCCAGGCAGGCAGUCCCGAAGGACAGGGCUGUCCUGGCAGCAGGGCAGCCAAGGCCAUCUGCAACAGACAUCAAAUCUUAGUGCUCAGAGGGCCAGGUUCCCAAAUACUCACCUGUCACAACUCCAAACACAUGCCCAGCCUCACAAGGUGCUGUGGAUUAGCUCAGUAUUAGCUGGUAGCAGCUCCCAUUAGGAGCUGGGAUUUCAGGCACCACUGGACCAGGGUGCUGCACAUGGACACAGAGGGGAAUGGGUCACCUUCCUGCAGGACACUGGGCACUGUGGGUGUUUCUAGGUGUUCAUAUUUGUGUCAGAGAAGAGAGGAAAGCCUUUAAGCAUGAGCCAUCCUGUGCCACACCAUGUGUUUGCAGCCUGUGCUGCAUCCCAGCAUGGCCCACAGAGCACUGGCGCUGGCAACAGUGAAGAGGGAUGGGCAGUGGCCAGACCAAGCUCACUGCUAACAGCUUUCACUAUGAAACUGGGCACACACCUUGGUCUUCAGCAUGAAAUUAGGUGCCCACCUUUGCAAGCCAGUCACAGAAGCAAAUUUUGCACUGAGCAAGAAUUCCUUUGUAGCAUGUGUUUAAACAAGGUUUGAAUGGGGAGCUGGUAACGUACCUGUAAAUACAUACAUAAAAAUAAUUUGCUCUUUAAAAUGCUGAGAUAGACUCAGUUGUUGCCCUCAGUAAAAUAAGACUUAGCCUGGUGAUUCACAGACUUCUCAUGGGAGCAGGCAGGAGGCAGCUGUUGAGGUGACGUGAAGCCAGACGUUCUGGAUCCACACUCAUUAAUGUGAAAAUAAAAGGAGAUUCCCCCCAAACCUCUGCACUAAGUUAUUACUUGCUUUCCUGUGGCAGUUUAUAGAGGCUAUUGAUAUAUUCCAAGGCAAUUCAAUAAAAGAAUAUGUAAUGAAAGUGAGACAUAAUGCAGGUUGCAAUGACAGAGAUGUGUGUGAAUUUUUAAACUGGCAAAAUUUGCAGUCAGUUGGGAAAUCCAUAGAUUUCUUCACCUGCCUAUAGUUAGGGAAAACUGGUAAAAGCAUCAAAGUAUUUCAUCCUUAAACAUGUCACCGGUCAGCAGGGUGAAAAUCAUUUCCCCUCUGAGGGCUGAUGGUGACAACAUGGAAUGGAACUGGAAACAACCAGUUGUGUUUUUCUGCCAUGGUGCAGGUUUCUUUGUUGAUCCUCAGCUUCAGCCCCAUAAGUCCACAAGAUCUGGCAAUCAAGCAACCACUGUUACAGUGGAUUAUUUGCUUCUCUAAGCUUUCCACCUCCUUUAAUUUCCCCAAAAUCCUGCAACAGGCUGUGUUUAGAGGGGUGAUAAGGAUUGCAGUUAAGCAGAGGGUGCAGAAGGAGUUCAUAACGGACAAGAUUUCAUUUGGUUUUAAGCAGCAAGGGUCUUCACUCUCCCCCUGGAAUUAACACAAUGAAAACCUUUUUAAAGAGACAAAUUACACAUCAGCAGAUCAGUAAUAACUGGGCUCCAGUGCUGUUUCCCCUCAGAAAGCUGCAGGAGGGAACUGGUCUGCAGGACAUGCUGCAUCUCUACAUCUGCUCAGGAGGAUCCUACUGGUGCAGACCAGUCUAGUGACACCAAAUUCGCAGCAGCUUCAGCUGCUGAGGAGAAUUAUUUCCACUGUUUCUCCAUUAGCAGCUGCUGCAACUAAGCAGCUUUUUUUUUCCAGUGGGAAAGUGCAAGUUCUUUCCAGUGGGACAGGAAAAUCACAAGUUUCUUGUUGAAUUACAAAGCAAAGCAAGGCACACACCACAGGGUCUGAGAGUCCUAGAAUCAUUUGGGUUGGAAAAGACCUCUAAGAUCAGAAUCCAUACGUUAAUUUGGCACUGCCAAGCCCACCACUAAACUAUGUCCCCAGGUGCCAUAUAUUCAAGUUUUUAAAAAUCCCUCCAAGGAUGGUGAUUCACCCCUUCCCUGUGUGUCAGUGUUUGAUGUGUGCCUGCCAUGCACGCAUCCUCACCUGCCAUGGCUGAAGGACAUGGCAGCCAGGAGGGAUUUCAAUGUCAAGGCAAUAACCAUGCUGAUGGAUGGGAACAAUGAGUUCCCUAAACCAGCGAGUACUGCAGCCUCCCUUUGGAGAUCCCAAAAAACUCCAGAGCUGGGAUCCUGAGCUUGCAAUGCAAUCCACAUCAGUUUUCCAGCUGUGUGAUCGCCUUGGAAUGACAAGUCUAUGGCUGGGAAGCCAACCAGGGACACCAUGGAGCUGAAUUUCCUUCCCAAUGCACCCAAGAGGAAAGCUGCACGGGCUGCCAUAGCAUGGAACAGGCACCAUCUGAAAUAAACACUUGGUUUUGGCAGCCUUGAAAGCCAUCCAUCAGCUGGUGGUUUUGGCUUAUGGAAAACCUGCAAGACACUUUUAUGUUGAAAAGUCCAAGUAGGCUCAGAGGCUUCCCACAUCACCACACCCUGGGGUCACUCCCACCAUUAACAGCAGCGGGAGCAAAUCCACCACAGAAGUCCAGCUCCUGCCAGUUGUGCUCCAGCAGGGAACAUCACAGCUCCAACCCCUAAUGGUUCAGGCACUGCUGGCUGUUAGCAAAGACCUGCUUGCUUCUGCCAUGCCGAGGAAGCAGGUGGCAAACUCUGUUUCUUGGUGGUUUGUUGGUCAGCAUUUAGGAAGAGCACGGGCCUGAACUCCAGAUAAAUCUGAUUUUCCAGCUGGGCAUGUGCACCAAACAGCAGGGCUUGGGGUUUACCUGGUGUUCAGAAAAAGGGAGUGCAGUAACUGUACAUAUAUAUAUCUAUAGAUACAUAUAUAUAUAUAUAUAUAUACACACACCCACAUAUCCAUCUCCUUGUGCUCUGGGUAGAUUAAAAGGUUUCUCACACACACAAAAAAAAAAGUUCACCUCAUUUUCACAUCUUUAGUGACUUCAAAAACAUUUUAAUACACAAUAUAUGGCUGAAGAAACAAAUAUUUUCCUUUCUCAAGCAUCUUCCCAGGCAACAUUUGACUUGUUUUUUUGAGCAAAGCAAUUCAUCAAAACUGCCAAGAAAAUAGAAAUAUUGUUGGACCAUCCAAAUAUUAAACUAUCCCCACAAAAUGCCACAGAUAAAACUGCUGGCAUCAUACUCAUUGUGUAGACCUAAUGUCUCUGCACCCAUCCUGGAAAAGGUCAGUUUGCAUUUGCUACAUUCACGUUGCUAAAUUAUAAAAAAAGGGCUGCAGAUGCUGCAUUUUGAGGGGAUGCUGUUCCCCCCACCCCCCAAACCACUGCCACAACAUUAAUGACUUUCUCAGCACAGCUGCUCUGAGCAUACACACACACAGGUUUCCUUUUGCAUUCAUCCUUAUAAAGCUGCUCACACAGAUACAGCCCAUCAGCAAAAUGUAAAAAUAACUGAAAAGAUAUAAUUAGUGUGGAUGCGCUGUGGAUUUAAUAGGGUUUUUAUAUUUCUUCCUUUGCUGGCCCAUAAGGCACAAAUCCUGGAUGCAGAGAGGCUGAUUGGGAGGGAAAGAGAGAGCUUUGCUGUGGUAUAUGUUUGGCAAAACCCUCAAAUAUUUUUCUCAGUUUUCUAUUGCCUGUAUUUUUUAUUGAGCACCACAGAGAAAUUGCAGCAGAUUGAUUCUUUCACAGCUCCCCAUAGUAGAAAUGAUUUGGAGCCAAAAGCUCAAUGCCUGCCAAACUUCAUAAUUAACUGCAAUAACUCUUUAAUUUGAACUUUAAUUCAAAUACCCAUGUUUUAGGAGGAUUGUAGGGGAAAAAAAAAAAAAGAGCAAAAUAAACCAAAGGUAACCAGUUCUGGUAAAAUACAGAAGCAGCCCCAAGCUUGUGCUGUGCCACAGGCAACUGGAGAUCAGCUGUCCUAUCCUGGUCACACAGAAGCCAUUCGGGGAUGGAGAGGCAUUGUCCCAGUCCAGCAGAAAGUUGAAUGAGAAGGACAUUGACAUCAGACACCAGGAAAGUGACAGGCUCAAAGCUGCCUUCACUGCCCUGCAUGGGAGGUUUUCCAAGGCCACCUCCAGGGAUGAAGGGAUCAAAGCCAUC
rnacentral:lncRNA from 1 species